UGGGGAAUAUUGCACAAUGGAGGGAACUCUGAUGCAGCAACGCCGCGUGCGGGAUGACGGCCUUCGGGUUGUAAACCGCUUUCAGCCAUGACGAAGCUUUUGUGACGGUAGUGGUAGAAGAAGCAACGGCUAACUACGUGCCAGCAGCCGCGGUGAUACGUAGGGUGCGAGCGUUGUCCGGAAUUAUUGGGCGUAAAGAGCUUGUAGGCGGUUUGUCGCGUCGAUAGUGUAAACACGCAGCUUAACUGUGUGCCUGCUGUCGAUACGGGCUGACUAGAGGAGGGUAGGGGAGAAUGGAAUUCCCGGUGGAGCGGUGGAAUGCGCAGAUAUCGGGAGGAACACCAGUGGCGAAGGCGGUUCUCUGGACCUUUCCUGACGCUGAGAAGCGAAAGCGUGGGUAGCAAACAGG
rnacentral:rRNA from 1 species